rnacentral:rRNA from 1 species
UUCGCAAUGCCCGAAAGGGUGACGAAGCGACGCCGCGUGCGGGAAGAAGGCCUUCGGGUUGUAAACCGCUGUCGGGAGUUAAGAAAUGUAAGGAUGUUAAUAGCAUCUUUGCUUGACUAAGGCUCCGGAGGAAGCCACGGCUAACUCUGUGCCAGCAGCCGCGGUAAUACAGAGGCGGCAAGCGUUGUUCGGAAUUAUUGGGCGUAAGGAGCACGUAGGCGGCUAUGUAAGUCGGUUGUGAAAGCCUUCCGCUCAACGGGAGAACAGCAUCCGAUACUGCAUGGCUUGAGUGCGGGAGGGGAGAGUGGAACUUCUGGUGGAGCGGUGAAAUGCGUAGAUAUCAGAAGGAACGCCGGCGGCGAAAGCGGCUCUCUGGCCCAUAACUGACGCUGAGUGUGCGAAAGCUAGGGGAGCAAACGGGAUUAGAUACCCCGGUAGUCCUAGCCGUAAACGAUGGGCACUAAGUAGAGGGGUUUU